CUUUCCUCAGUCAGUAUUGUUCCUGUGGUUAUGUGUAGGUGCUAAUGUUAUCUUGGUAAAUGUUUGUUCUUGCUUCUUGACUCUGUCUCCGUUACAGAAUACUGACUCCAACAAUGGAGGCAGCAGGAAAACAAAAUAUCUCCCAGAUGGUCGACGAGCCCCUGCUCGUCAACAUCAUGACAAGCUGACUCAACUGGGGAUGGCUAUGGAAGAGGUUCAUUACGGCACCCCAUCUAAAUGCCGUGGCUACCUACUUCAGUGCUCCCUCUACUUCACGCACCAGAUGGGAGCCCCCACCACCGAGAGGACCAAGAUUCCCACGGUUAUUUCUCUGCUGAUUGGGCGGGUGUUGGAAUGGGCCACGGCUGUCUGGGAUAGGAGAGGAGCUAGAUUCAUGAGGGGUUCAUGGCUCUGUUCAAAUGCAUCUUUGAUCACCCAGAGGGCAGAGAGGGGGGUGAGCGCCUACUCCAAUUACGGCAGGGGGACCAUAUGGCUGCUGAGUACGCGCUCACCUUCCGGACAGUAGCAGCAUCCAGCGGUGGGAAGGUUCCUGGACAUGCAGAUCACUGAUGCACUAUUCCAGCAGGUCUUCUGACUUUCUGAAGGACAUCGUCUCUGACCGUGGCCACCAAUUCACAUCAUGGGUAUUGAGCGCCUUUAUGGAAAAACUGGGGGUCACGGUCAUCCUCACUUCCGGGUAUAGGCCUCAGUCCAAUGGGCAGGUGGCGAGGAUGGACGAGGAGCUGGGGAGGUUCCUGAGGAGUCACCGGCAGGGAGAGUGGGCUCGACUCCUUCCAUUGGCUACGUCACUCCUCCACUGGGUUGAGCCCCCCCCUUCCAGUGUUUUCAGCCGGCCCUGGAUCCAUAGCCCCCUGACCAGACCAACGCUCCUGCGGCAGAUGGUUCAGGCACGCAGAAGUGUGGCGCGACGCUCACGUGAGACUCCAGCGGGUUCCGUUGGAGGACAUUCUGGAUCCCAACAUCUGAUUUCCACCUUAACCAACCGACCCUCUGGUCGGCGUUGUCCUGCGGCUGGACCCGUGCGUCGGGUGUACUGUCAUGUCUACUCCCACUCCUCCCCUCCAGCGUUCGACGUCACCAGUAUACUAACCACCGGUCCUGGGAUCAAUCAUCACACACACCUGCACGUCUUGAGGCACACCUCGACUCCAUUACCUCACUUACCUCCCCUUUAUCUGGCACUCCAUUAGGUUCUUUCCCCAGUCAGUAUCGUUCCUGUGUUUAUGCUACUGUUAUGUUUCGUUCCAUGUUUUAUUCAACGUUUCACCUGCACCUCGACUCUGUGUCUCCGUUACACUACAACCCAGUAAGCACGAGCUGAUGUCUUUCUUUUGGUCCAGACCAGACAUCUUUUUUUUGUUUUACAAACGGUAGGCUUACCACAGAUGGGCAUUCACAAACAUUUUUUGGUGCAGUUCGGACUGGCCUUGAUUUCCACAUCCACUGCCAUUGGUUCAGAUUUGGUGCGGACCAAAAACCAAUCAUAGACAUCUGUUUGCUUCAAGUUUUGUACGGUCUAGACCAGCCUUGAUUUGGCCCAAACAUAGAUAAAUAGAACCAAAAAAUUGCCUGAUUUCAACAUCUGGAAAAUACAUAUUUUAGACAUCUUUUCAUUGUCAUUUUGCUUACUGAAAUGUUUCUAGUUUCUGGACUCUCCUCGGGUGGCAGAACGGCAAGGACCGCCCCUGGUCUGAUUAUCAUAAACUGAACUUUAUUUUGCACCGGAUCCUGCUGCCUUCUGAUACUACUCCAACAAACAGUCCCUACGACAGAUCAAUGUUUUAUCAGUCUGAGAACCCCAUAGCAUUAAAAUACUGAGGGACUGGGCUCCACACUUAAAGACUUGGUGAGGCUGGUGGUAAAGUUCAGAAGCAUCUGAAAUGAUUUAGUAGGCAAACGUGGGCUCGUGAAGAAGCACGGUAAUUGAUGGGCCAUGAGAAGGCUGUGUGAGUUAAAUCAUGUCAAGAUGGCCACGCUUGUUACUCUUUGAUCUCUUGUGAAGAAAAGUUAGUACACCAUGAAAUCCGGGAAGAUCAAACUGUUUUAAAAGCCAUGAUGUGUUUUCAGUGUCACUAAAUGGAUUAAAACUACACAGUAGGAAAAAGUUUGCAAUGACAUCUUCAUGUUCAAGUUGUAUACUGGUUGUUAAGAGGAUAUUUUGUCUGACUUUUUAGCAACCAGAAAAUAUUUCUUCAUCUGGUUUUAACCUGGAUAUCUGACGAGUACAUAGUAUGACAUCUUGAUAGAGAGGAUUAAUCAUUGCCUAU